rnacentral:lncRNA from 1 species
GGAAGAGAAUGAGCCACCCAGUCUGGUUAACCACUAAUAUGCCCACAUAACUCUUCCCUUCCCUUCCAGUGCCUUACUUCCUCUCACAGUACUUCAGUUUUAAAGGUGCUCUCCACAGUUUGUGCAAAGUGCAUCUGACUGGUAGCAAACCAGAGUAGCUUCUGCAGCAAAUAUUAUACGGUGGUGUGCACAGUUUUCCCCUUGGUUCUAAGGCAGGGUAUAAAUAUUGUGAAGGAAGUCCAAUUUUCCCCGCCUCUCCUUUGUUUGCUGUAAAUAAUGAGUGAUUAUGCAGACAUGAAAGUCAAUGGUGGCACAAGGUUCAUUACCCUACUUUGCAGAGGGUGGCGAGGUCUGUUAACAGCAGGCUACUGCAAGAGUGUUAUUAAGGAUGUGAAAUCUCAUUGGAAUGUGUGCUUUCUAUUUGAACAGAUGACACCGUACAUGAGUCAGCCGAGCCAUCCCGCGGAGAGAACGCGGCACAAACACCAAGGAUACCCAGCCGCCUUUUGGCAAUCCUACUGUUCCUCCUGGCGAUGCUUUUGACAUUAUAGCACAGUCUCCUCCCGUCACCUGUCACAGAAAACAUCAGGGUCUUGGAACACCAGAGAUCCACCUAAACUGCUCAUCCCAAGAAGGGACUUGUUAUCGGUUUUUGGCAGAUGUCAGAUUUUUGUUUUCUUUCCUUCCGCCUGAUUUUUAAGCAACAACUUGGGGUUGUUUGGGGGCGGGGGCUAAACUAGUUGCUGCCCCCUUCACCCUGCCCCACCCCCUAGCCCUUGCCCUUGACUCCUCUCAACCCCCUUCCCAAUUAAAUGGAGUCCAGAUAAAAAUGCCAGAUUGUCGUAGUGACAGCAGAGGGUCUUGGCCUCCUGUGCAUUGUCCUCUAGAGCUCACCUCCGUAAGCUCAGGGUGUUGACCGUAUGCACACGAGAGAAAAUAUGGGCAGAUGCUGCCUGUAAUGUCCAGGCCCAAGAGGGGUGGCCUCUCCUAUAGAAUACCUACGCCUUCACAGUCCGACAGGAAGGUGAUUGUGUGGAAUGUGGUGUUGGCCCGUCAGGUCCAGAGGGGCAGAGUUAAGAAUAGGCAUAAUAUUAUACCACAUCCUCUAGGAGUGUAGAAGUGAGCAGGCUUCUCAAAGGUCCAGAUACUAGUUUUUAUUUCAUCAAAUGGGACUGUCUUGAAGCAUUUUCUUUUUUUCCCCAGCAAAACUUGGGCUGUGUCAAAGAAGCCUCUCCUCCCAGAAGGAGGGUUGGAUGCAGGGAUGCUAAUACAGAGGAAGUGCGACACUGAGAAAAAUGAGCUGUUACUGGGGGUGCGAGUGCCUCUAACUUUUUAGUGACUGGGCAGUGCAUACCCGAGGGUUUAUUUUUUUUUUUUCCUUUAAAUACAGUUCACCAUGGUGCUACAACUUUUUUUUCUUUUUAGGAGUUCAAAGAGGCAUUUUUAUGAAUAAAGUGACCUUCCCCAAGGCUGCCAAGCCAGGGUUGAUGAGUAGAGAGUAGAAUAGCUUUGGCUACUCCUCUGGGGACAAUAUGUACAAGGAAAGAGAGUCUGGCCAGAGGAGGUGCGAUUUGGCUUUGCUGGAGCUCCAGUGUGCUGUGGCCUUUCCCCAACUCCCACCCCGAUACCCACGUUCUGUUCCGUGCUCCGUGACUACAAGGGGACUCAGACACAAACCCUGUCACCAGGAGAGUCAGUCAGCACUACUUGGGAGGGCUAAAGGGAAAUUUGGAAUAAAAGUUCCAAAGUUUGGAAUAAGAAAUUCAA